UUUGCAGAAGCAGGAUUUCCUUGUCCUCCUUUCAGAAAUCCAUCAGGUCAUUUCCUCCAGUGCCGUAACUCUGAUUUCGACAAAGUUAAGGCCACUCUAAGAGAGAUGAUCAAAGUAUGUCUUUUAAGAUCAUCUUGCUACUAAUCAAACUCCAAAAGUUUGCAUUAGAUUUGGGAAUAACUUUUUAAAUAAAGUAAUGCUACUCUGUUCAUAGUUGGGAAAACUUGAAGCAUACACAUUACAACCAUGUGUAAUGUGUUCUUUGUUUUGACAAGUGCUAUAAAAUAGUCACUAGUCCACAUAUAUAAGUUUCCGCUUUCUGUUAAGAUCUGUCCAGUCUUAUUAGUAGAAUUAGAACCAACAACCCGGCAACUCGACAAAUAUCUUGAUCAGUUGAAGUGUCCUUGAUAAUGGAUACCAUAUGAAGGCCAAUCCUAGGAGGAUCUACAAAGUAUCGUUAUCCGCGUAGAGGAAGAACCAGUAGAACAUCAACAAAAACAGAUCCUAAUUCUAAGAGUCGGCUCCCACUGCUAAUGAGCUUUGGCAUUUAUGUUCCAAGGGAUGAAAAAUUUACACCCUUAAAGAUGACCGACUUUAUUGGAAUAGCACUUAAGGUCAUCGUUCAGCUCCUUAUCCCCGAGCUCGAGUCUUUAGGAAACAUCAACCUUAAUGAGUUCAACAGCUUUGAAGAUAUUUUAAAAAUUGAUGGAGGAGGCAUCAAUCUUCCUGAUGCUGUUUUGCAGAGUAGUAGUACAGGGAUGCUGUAGGAAUUUAUUCAAAGUUCUGGUCAGGAGUUUCUUAAGUAUCCUAUGCCACAAAUUAUAAAAGUUGCAGUUUAGGACCUAAAGUUGAAUGUGUUUUAGAAUUUACAAGGAGUUCCUUAUCUAGCAAUUGGCAAACAUCUUUGUGAACCUACUACAGAUAAGGCUCUAAGAUAUUGCAUCAGCAAACAAUGCAAUCAACCUAAUGAUGCUUAUUCUGAAUCGACGUGCCACCUGACUGGCCUAGCUACAAUAUCAAAUAAAUUUGUCUCUAUUAAAGAUCCUCCUGAUAGCAUAUCAUUGUUAUCCAAGUUGCCAUAGUUUCGCUAGGAAAAAGAAAUAAUAGUUCAAUCUCCUUA